GACGAACGCUGGCGGCGUGCGUAACACAUGCAAGUCGAACGGAAAGGCCCUGCUUUUGUGGGGUGCUCGAGUGGCGAACGGGUGAGUAACACGUGAGUAACCUGCCCUUGACUUUGGGAUAACUUCAGGAAACUGGGGCUAAUACCGGAUAGGAGCUCCUGCUGCAUGGUGGGGGUUGGAAAGUUUCGGCGGUUGGGGAUGGACUCGCGGCUUAUCAGCUUGUUGGUGGGGUAGUGGCUUACCAAGGCUUUGACGGGUAGCCGGCCUGAGAGGGUGACCGGCCACAUUGGGACUGAGAUACGGCCCAGACUCCUACGGGAGGCAGCAGUGGGGAAUAUUGCACAAUGGGCGGAAGCCUGAUGCAGCAACGCCGCGUGCGGGAUGACGGCCUUCGGGUUGUAAACCGCUUUCGCCUGUGACGAAGCGUGAGUGACGGUAAUGGGUAAAGAAGCACCGGCUAACUACGUG
rnacentral:rRNA from 1 species